ensembl:misc_RNA Vault Vault RNA
GGGCUGGCUUUAGCCCAGUGGUUACUUCGAGUCUGGCUUCCCAACCUCCCGGGCCGAUUAGUCCGGUGGUUCGAGACCCGCUGGCACUCUCCAGUCCUUAU